AUGGAUAUUCUUUCUAUCACCAAACAAAUGAGACAUGCAAAUGCAAGUAUUUACUCUACUCUGCUCAAAAGGACAACAAAAGUGUUUUCUUUCUCGCUCCAAAUGUACUCUACUACGUGCUACGUGCUCUACCGCCGCCGGCUACCCAAAAUUCACCGCUCCAUGCCGUGGUUGCUGCCGGACCCGGACCAGCGCCCGCUCACCGCCGCCGUCGCCGCCGCCUCGCCUUCCUCCGACGGCGCGACCCCGGAGCCCUCCUUCCGGCUCCUCGUCUUGAUCAGCCCGUACAGCUUCUUCAGCUCCCGCAUCGGCGCCGCGUCCUUGCCCAACGCGCCGCCGCCCGUCGUCCCCGCCUCCUCCUCCGCCCCGCCGUCCCACUGCCCGGCCCCUGACCAGCUCGUGAUCCGCCGGUGCGGCAUCCGCGGAGGCGCUGUUGUCGGCGCGGCCGAGCCUUCGGACGCGCGCUGGAGCUGGAGCCUCGUGAUGACGGUGCGCAGCGCGCGGCUCGGGGACGCGCGGUUGGCCAGCAUGAUCUCGCCCAGCUCCGCGGGGCUGGGGCGGCGCUCGCCGGCGGCGUUGAACCCCUCCUCCACCUGCGGGAACAGCUUGUGGUCCGUGAGCCCCAGGUAG
rnacentral:rRNA from 1 species